rnacentral:rRNA from 1 species
GUGAACGCUGGCGGUAGGCCUAACACAUGCAAGUCGAACGGCAGCACAGUAAGAGCUUGCUCUUACGGGUGGCGAGUGGCGGACGGGUGAGGAAUACAUCGGAAUCUACUUUUUCGUGGGGGAUAACGUAGGGAAACUUACGCUAAUACCGCAUACGACCUACGGGUGAAAGCAGGGGAUCUUCGGACCUUGCGCGAUUGAAUGAGCCGAUGUCGGAUUAGCUAGUUGGCGGGGUAAAGGCCCACCAAGGCGACGAUCCGUAGCUGGUCUGAGAGGAUGAUCAGCCACACUGGAACUGAGACACGGUCCAGACUCCUACGGGAGGCAGCAGUGGGGAAUAUUGGACAAUGGGCGCAAGCCUGAUCCAGCCAUACCGCGUGGGUGAAGAAGGCCUUCGGGUUGUAAAGCCCUUUUGUUGGGAAAGAAAAGCAGCAGGUUAAUACCCCGCUGUUCUGACGGUACCCAAAGAUUAAGCACCGGCUAACUUCGUG